CUGAGGGACCCAUUUACUUUGCCAGUGCUAGCAUGGUGAAGGCUGAGGCACCAGGUGAUUCUGGUUACAAACCUUUAGCCUGGGCCAGAGGCACAGCAGUUACCGGAGGUGUUCUGUCCAUCGUUUUUGUUAUAGGUGUCUGGAAUUACAAGAGGAUUCACACCACAAAAAGUGAACAAGUAUAAAUAGAUAUAAAUAAAUAGUUUUCUACAAAU